UGGCAGACGGCUGAGUAACGCGUAGGAACCUGCCCAGCAGUGGGGAACAACCACCCGAAAGGGGGGCUAAUACCGCAUACGACCACUCCGCAAGGGGUGAGGAAAGCCGUAAGGCGCUGCUGGAGGGGCCUGCGUCCGAUUAGCUAGUUGGUGGGGUAACGGCCUACCAAGGCGCCGAUCGGCAGCUGGUCUGAGAGGAUGACCAGCCAGACUGGGACUGGGACACGGCCCAG
rnacentral:rRNA from 1 species